rnacentral:misc_RNA from 1 species
CUACAUAUCUAGGCCUACUUGAUACAGAUUAGACUAUGUAUUCAUAUCACACACAUUAUCUUAAAAUAAUAUUUAAGUAAAAUUAAUAUAAAUUUAGAAAAAGAUAGAACACAUAAUUAUAUUUGUGAGAGGAUCUUCCUCAUUUUUCUUCAAGAAAUCCGACGAUCCAUCUUUUCCAACCGGACUUUCAUAACUUUGCGUUAUUGCUCCUGUGAAUUACAAGUGCUUCUUGGAUUGCCUUGGGCAUCACAGACUAGUUAUUUCAUAGGUAACGACAUAGUUGAUGUACAGGAUCUCCACCCAAGACUGGGUCAUCGAUGGAACCAGAUAAAACGUCACAGGAAUCUCGAAUUAUUAUUGGUGGAUUCGAUAUUAUUCAAUAUCAAACUUCCUUCAAAUAUAAGUGAACAUUGGAGCAGAUGAUUAUUGUUACUUAAUCUAUCUGGUUCGGAAAAGGCGGUAAACAUGAUGCCAAAUUAUGCUACUGCGACAAUGGCACUUCUACUAUUAGUAGGAGGCUUUUAUAGACACGAAAGGCAAAAGAAAGAAUACCAAUCGUUAGAAAAAGAAGAAAUGAUGAAAAGAGAAUCGGAAAAAGCCACCUCUCAAAAACUGGUGUGUUAUUACAAACUAGAAGGAAAUUAUAGCUAUCGCCUUCAACCCGAAGACAUCGAUCCAAACUUGUGUACCCAUUUGAUUGCAGGAUUUGCUGACACUCGUUAUGACCUUAUAGUACCUAGAUCUGCAGAUCACAUCGAUGGCUACAAACGUUGUUUGGAUCUAAAAAAUCGUAACCAGGAUUUAAAAGUACUUUUAUCUAUCGGUGCUACUAGUGGAGGAAGAUUUUCCAAGAUGAUUAAUUAUCAAACUGGUAGAGAAAGGUUCAUUCAUUCUGUCAUAUAUUUUAUUGAAAAAUAUCCAUUCGACGGUUUGGAUUUUGACUGGGAAUUUCCAGCAUGGGAAGGUGGACCAAUCACCGAUAAAAUCAAUUUUAUCACUCUACUAAAGGACCUGCGGCAAGUAUUCGAAAAAAUGAAAAAGCCAUUUUUAUUAACCGUUGCUGUUGCUGCUAGAGAACCCAUUAUUUCAUCAUCAUACGACAUUCCUGCUUUAGCAGAAGUGGUAGAUUUUGUUAAUUUGCUCUCUUAUGAUUUCCAUUAUUACCAUCCUGGAUUAAGUUAUACACACCAUCACAAUGCAUUAUAUAGAAGACCAAGCAGCACAGGACAUCACUUUACUUUAAAUGUGGAUAUGGUAGCAAGAUAUUGGAGUUUGUCUGGAAUGCCACGAAAAAAAAUUAUGAUUGGAAUUUCUACUCAUGCCCAAACAUUUAAUCUUGCAUCUACUUAUGCACAUGGAAUAGAUGCUCCUGCAAAAGGACCUGGUUUAGGCUUUGGACGCUUACCUUAUAGUAUGUUAUUUUUUGCAAAGUGGAGCACAUCGAAUAUUUGAUAUAUUUGCUAGAGUUCCAUAUGCUUAUAAAGGACAUCAAUGGAUGUCUUUUGAUGAUGAAGAAAGUGUUGCAGAAAAGGCUAAAUGGGUGAAGAGAAACAGUUUCGGUGGAAUAAUGACAUAUAAUUUAAAUAACGAUGACUGGCAGAUGAAAUGCGACAAUCAAACUUCAUUUCCUUUACAUAGAACUAUAGCAGAUAUAUUUAAAUA